rnacentral:rRNA from 1 species
UACGAAGGGUGCAAGCGUUAAUCGGAAUUACUGGGCGUAAAGCGUGCGUAGGCGGUUUGUUAAGUCUGUUGUGAAAUCCCCGGGCUCAACCUGGGAAUGGCAAUGGAUACUGGCAAGCUAGAGUGUGUCAGAGGAUGGUGGAAUUCCCGGUGUAGCGGUGAAAUGCGUAGAGAUCGGGAGGAACAUCAGUGGCGAAGGCGGCCAUCUGGGACCAACACUGACGCUGAGGCACGAAAGCGUGGGGAGCAAACAGG